UGCGCAUUACAUCCACAGGAAUAAUUAAAGGGUGUGUCCAAUUUCACAAACUGCUAGCUAGCUGUUUUAACAACAAAAAGCUAGCGCUUUAGUGCAAGGCUAACUCAUAUGUUGAAUAGAAAGUUUGUGAGGACAGAUGAUGCUAUGAAAGAUUCUGAAGAGACUGCAACAGCCUUCAAUACAGACAGACAUGUUGCUAUGUGUGUGACUAUCUCUCACCGCUGUCCAGCUGUGACCGGAGGGAGACAGGGGUGACGUUACCACACACUUCAAGGAACCCAAAGUCACCUCCUCCUCUGCUCACUUGAAGUGUUUGUGUUGUUGCAAGAAGGUGGUUCCAGGUCCAAAGACAUGAGAUUGAAGAAAGAAAAAUGGUCGCGAGGACAUUGCACUCUGUACCGUAUUAGCUGCUGGUUAUCGUAGCUGUAUGCAAAAAAAUUACA